ensembl:lncRNA
AACACACAGGACACAUGAGAAUCGGACUUAAUCUGGAUAUACGAUAAACUGCGCUAUAAUACCCGUGAAUAGAGAUGAUAUGGAUUAGCUGAUUUCGGACAUCAUGGAAUGACAUCAUCCUCUCAUAUGGAAUUGGGGCAAUGUGAAAAACAGUGUCUGAGAUAUACAAUGGGUAAAGAGGACCUGAGACCUAGGACCAUGCAUCAGGACUACCUGGCAUGAUGACUCCUUGCUGUCCCCAGUCCACCUGGCCUUGCUGCUGUUCCAGUUUCAACUGUUCUGCCUGUGGCUAUGGAACCCUAAACUGUUCAUAUUUAUUCUAGAGGUGCUGUCCUGUUGCAUCCUCGACAUCCACUGUGAUCAUUAUUAUUUGACCCUGCUGGUCAUCUAUAAACAUUUGAACAUCUUGGCCAUGUUCUGUUAUAAUCUCCACCCGGCACAGCCAGAAGAGGACUGGCCACCUCUCAUAGCCUGGUUUCUUCCUAGGUUCUGGCCUUUCUAGGGAAUUGUUCCUAGCCACCGUGCUUCUACACCUGCAUUGCUUACUGUUUGGGGUUUUAUGCUGGGUUUCUGUACAGCACUUUGAGAUAUCAGCUGAUGUAAGAAGGGCUUUAUAAGUAAAUUUGAUUUGAUAAAUACACCUCUGCUGUCUUCAUCGCCCCAGCGAUCACUGCCUCAUUGCCUGCGUACGUAAUGUGUCCGCGGUCAAACGACCACCCCUCAUCACUUUCAAAUGCUCCCUAAAACACUUAAGCGAGCAGGCCUUUCUAAUUGAUCUGGCCCGGGUAUCCUGGAAGGAUAUUGACCUCAUCGAGUCAGUAGAGGAUGCCUAGUUUCUCUUCAAAAGUGCAUUCCUCUCCAUCUUAAUUAAGUAAGCAUGCCCCAUUCAAAAAAUGUAGAACAAAGAACAGAUAUGAACAGAUAUAGCCCUUGGUUCACCACAGACUUGACUGCGGCGUUCUGCAUUAGCAUCGAAUAGCCCCGGCGAUAUGCAAAGUCAGGAAGCAAUAUACUCAGUCAGUUAGGAAAGCUAAGGUUAGCUUUUUCAAACAGAAAUUUGCUUCCUGUAGCACUAAUUUCAAAACAUUUUGGGACACUGCAAAGUCCAUGGAGAAUAAGAGCACCUCCUCCCAGCUGCCCACUGCACUGAGGAUAGGAAACACUGUCACCACUGAUAAACCUACAUUAAUCGAUAAUUUCAAUAAGCAUUUUUCCAC